rnacentral:rRNA from 1 species
UACGUAGGCAGCGAGCGUUGUUCGGAGUUACUGGGCGUAAAGAGUGCGUAGGCGGUUUUCUAAGUUUGGUGUGAAAUCUCCCGGCUUAACUGGGAGGGUGCGCCGGAAACUGCGAGGCUAGAGUGUGGGAUGGGAGAGUGGAAUUCCUGGUGUAGCGGUGAAAUGCGUAGAUAUCAGGAGGAACACCUGCGGUGUAGACGGCUCUCUGGACCACUACUGACGCUGAAACACGAAAGCGUGGGUAGCAAACAGG